ensembl:lncRNA
GUCGUAAGUUGAGCACUGAAUGCUUGAAGGGAAUUUGAAUGCAAUUUUUGUGGCCAGGAUGGCCUUUAGAAGCUCUCUUUCCCCCAUCAAAUUACAUACCCAUGCCAGUUAAUUUGAAAAUAAGUUUAAUAUUCCAGACCACAAGUAACACUGAAACAUACCUACACAUUACAAACAAUUGUAAUGUACCCGCUGGUUCUGCAUUUGAUACUUGCUUUCUCUUUCACAGCUCAGUGUGAUAAUCUUGAUUCCUUGAGGGGAAAAAUAAAACUCUUUGAAGCUGUUUGAAAUGUUCUUAAUAGCUGAGACACUUAUGGUUCCUACUUACAGACUUUAUACUGGUUAAAUGAGUGGAUGUGUAUCUGCUACCUAUGGUAAGUAUGAACAGCAGUAUAGCUGCAGUUGCUGAUGCUGCAUAUGGAUUGUUCAGACUGAGGGUUCAGCCUAAAUGGAUCCAAGCUUUGGCAUUUUGGACAUAGUCAGGUAUCAACAAGGCACCCGCAGUAAUUCUUUAAUCACCUCUGCAUACUUUCUGGCUUGUUGUAAUCAAUGCAGUAGAGCUGCCCCGUCCUCCUCUGUCGUAGUGAUCGAGCAGGCUGUGAGCAAUGAAGCUGCUUUCUGAAUGCAGUGUCUCACAUUUUCGGCAGACAAGGAUUUCACAUUUUGGACACAUUUUUCCGGAAUGUGGUUGCCUUAAAGAACAGAUUUCCUCCCGUGCUGGCUUCAGCUUCUUGGAACCUUUCCUGUGUAAGCAUCUCUUCUUGUCUUCAAAGCUCUGACUCCUUCCCUGAGGGCUGGAACAGUCAGAGGAAAGAAAGGUGACAAGUUUAGCCUACGUAUGUCCUAUAUGAAUGACAUCAGCAGGAGCAGUUAGUGUUGAUUUAUGAAUCCUCACUGAGGUUCUGUGACACUAUGAGCAGGUGCAGUGUAUGAUCUGCAGAAAACAGGAGUGGAUAGAAAAUGAAGAAAUCUAGCUCUGGUGUUAUGACGGCAGUGACAAGCCAUUGGAUUUUUAAACAUAGAACUAUUACAAGGACUGUCCAUCAUUAUUUAAACAAAAAUGUAAAAUAAAGAAAAAAAAUCAAGUUAACCAGUUAGAUAGGCUCUUCAGUUCUUCAGUAUUCAGUUUUUCUGUGAGUAAUCAUGACAUACCCUCAUGCAUGAAAACAAUUUUCAUAUAGAUAUGUGCAUCUAAAUUAGAGGCUCCUGAUAUAAUAAAUAAACUUCAUCGGUACUAUUCUAAGGGUUCUUUUUCUCCUUGCAUGCAGAAAUAAUUAUGCUGGCCCACAGAUGAACCCUAUCUUGUACUGCCUUUGGGUAGAGGUUGAAGGGCUGGAAGAAAAGCAGCUUUGAUGUACUACGUUUUAUGCAAAAUAGUACUGAUGCAGGUUAGGGUCAUGGUUUAUAUUCACCAACAAGAGCUCACAAACCAGUGCUGAGCAGCAGAGAUCUGAUGUAGCUAUACCACUGUGAACGUUCUGUAGACCCUGAUGGCCUGAAUGUUUAAAAACACUGCCAGGCAAUAUGUCUGCAAAAAACAUCCAGUAAAAUCCGAAGACUCUUUCCAUUAAUGUGAUUUCCAUGGGAGAAGGAUGCUGUGUUGCUGCUUUUUUUAGAUAAAACUGGGAAAACCUAUAACUGUCACUUGCAAAUUACUAUCAAGGCCUGCACAGCGUUUUACUGCUUAAGGUGGUGUCUGCCUCUAGAAUGCAUGCUUCAGAAAAAUCAUGGAUAACAAAGACAAUUCGCAGCUCUAAUUCACUAACUUCUUGCAUUUUCUUUGACACCUUCCAGUCCAGUUCCCCUUGAGUGUAACAAGAUAAGUUCCAAAGCAGAGCCCUUGGUAUCAGUUGUUUGGCAGUUGGACUCAUCGAAAGAAGAAUCUGGCUCUCAGAACCAUCUCUGGCCUGUGUAUUUUAAUCUCAUAUCAAGCUUGUAACCAGUUGCUGUGACUGUCAAACUUAAUGUAGUUAGCUGAGUAAUUGCUGCGACUUGCAUGUACUUCCUGCUAAGACGGUAAUUUCAUGAUCAUUAGCAAAGACAGACUCUUUUUAGGAGGUCUGCACAGAAAAUAGCUUUUGUAAUGGAUGAGGAAAGUCACUUUUAGAUUUUAUCGUGAUAUAUACAGCACGUUUACCUCUUGUUGAGGAAAAGUAACAUCAAACACAGAUACUCAAGAAGAGAAUUUCAAAUCCCAUGAGGAUGAUGGAACGAUCUCAAAUCUAACAGCCCACAGAGCAAUAAGCUCUACUAUAUGUUUGGCUCCUUGCUCACACUGGUGAUAAAAGGAAUAGUUUUCCAUUAGUUGUUUUUUUUUUUUUUUAAUCCCUCUUCCAAAGGCAGCAAGCACAAAGGCACUGUUGUAGGGAAGAUAUGCAGCAGGACUUGGUAGCCGUGACUUUUGAACACCGAUUUUGGGUGCUGCUGCAUUGCUGCUGUUUGUGGCAUCCCGGAGCUAGAGAUACUUAAUUGGUGCAACACAAUCUGUUCUUUCUGGAAACGGCCCUGGGCAGCACUAGGAUGUAUGUGGACAAACAGGGAUACCGCCCCUCCGAAAUCUUCUUGACUGGAUGGGGAGAGGAGUCAUAAGAAAUGAUUAGAAGAAGAACAUGCAGAUACAUGGAACUUGGAGACCUCACAUUCAUACGUCUGGCAGGACAUAGAAAACUUGUUUUCCAGGAAUGGAACAUCUCCACAGCCACUCCUCCAAUCGCAGUAGCACACAGCAGGCUGCAGCCAGAUGAUAGAUCCUGAGAUAAAGAAUAGAACAAGAGGGUGUCUCUGCAUCUCCUCAUACACUGAAGACUUUGG